UUUAAGGCUGAGACACGACGUCGAGCCACUACGGUGGUGAAGUCAUUGAUGCCAUGCUUCCAGGAAAAGCCUCUAAGCUUCAGAUUGUAAGGAAUCGUACCCCAAACCGACACAGGUGGUCGGGUAGAGAAUACCAAGGCGCUUGAGAGAACUCGGGUGAAGGAACUAGGCAAAAUGGUACCGUAACUUCGGGAGAAGGUACGCUCU
rnacentral:rRNA from 1 species